rnacentral:rRNA from 1 species
AACGAACGCUGGCGGCAUGCCUAACACAUGCAAGUCGAACGAGACCUUCGGGUCUAGUGGCGCACGGGUGCGUAACGCGUGGGAACCUGCCCUUAGGUUCGGAAUAACUCCCCGAAAGGGGUGCUAAUACCGGAUAAUGUCUUCGGACCAAAGAUUUAUCGCCUUUGGAUGGGCCCGUGUUGGAUUAGCUAGUUGGUAGGGUAAAAGCCUACCAAGGCGACGAUCCAUAGCUGGUCUGAGAGGAUGAUCAGCCACACUGGGACUGAGACACGGCCCAGACUCCUACGGGAGGCAGCAGUGGGGAGUAUUGGACAAUGGGCGAAAGCCUGAUCCAGCAAUGCCGCGUGAGUGAUGAAGGCCUUAGGGUUGUAAAUCUCUUUUACCCGGGAUGAUAAUGACAGUACCGGGAGAAUAAGCUCCGGCUAACUCCGUG